rnacentral:rRNA from 1 species
CCUACGGGGGGCAGCAGUGGGGAAUAGUGGGCAAUGGAGGAAACUCUGACCCAGCAAUGCCGCGUGAAUGAAGAAGGUCUUCGGAUGGUAAAGUUCUUUAGUCAGGGAAGAAGAAAAUGACGGUACCUGAAGAAUAAGCGCCGGCUAACAACGUGCCAGCAGCCGCGGUAAGACGUAGGGAGCAAGCGUUGUUCGGAAUGACUGGGCUUAAAGGGUGCGUAGGCGUUUAUACAAGUUAGAAGUGAAAUACCCAGUGCUUAACUCGGGUGCUGCUUCUCAAACUGUAAGUCUUGAGUGCAGUCGUGUUUAGUGGCAUUCCUAGUGUAGCGGUG